AACGAACGCUGGCGGCAGGCUUAACACAUGCAAGUCGAGCGCCCCGCAAGGGGAGCGGCAGACGGGUGAGUAACGCGUGGGAAUCUACCCAUCUCUACGGAAUAACGCAUGGAAACGUGUGCUAAUACCGUAUACGUCCUUCGGGAGCAAGAUUUAUCGGAGAUGGAUGAGCCCGCGUUGGAUUAGCUAGUGGGUGGGGUAAAGGCCAACCAAGGCGACGAUCCAUAGCUGGUCUGAGAUGAUGAUCAGCCAGACUGGGACUGAGACACGGCCCAGACUCCUGCGGGAGGCAGCAGUGGGGAAUAUUGGACAAUGGGCGCAAGCCUGAUCCAGCCAUGCCGCGUGAGUGAUGAAGGCCCUAGGGUUGUAAAGCUCUUUCACCGGUGAAGAUAAUGACGGUAACCGGAGAAGAAGCCCCGGCUAACUUCGUGCCAGCAGCCGCGGUAAUAC
rnacentral:rRNA from 1 species